rnacentral:rRNA from 1 species
AUUGAACGCUGGCGGCAGGCCUAACACAUGCAAGUCUAGCGAGCGGCGGACGGGUGAGUAAUGUCUGGGAAACUGCCUGAUGGAGGGGGAUAACUACUGGAAACGGUAGCUAAUACCUCAUACCAUCCGAUUUGCCCAGAUGGGAUUAGCUAGUAGGUGGGGUAACAGCUCACCUAGGCGACGAUCCCUAGCUGGUCUGAGAGAAUGGCCAGCGACACUGGAACUGAGACACGGUCCAGACUCGUACGGGAGGCAGCAUGGGGGAAUAUUGCACAAUGGGAGGAAGCCGGAUGCAGCCAUGCCGCGUGGGUGAAGAAGGCCUUCGGGUUGUAAAGCACUUUCAGCGGGGAGGCGUUACCCGCAGAAGAAGCACCGGCUAACUCCGUGCCAGCAGCCGCGGUAAUAC